UACGGAGGGUGCAAGCGUUAUCCGGAUUCACUGGGUUUAAAGGGUGCGUAGGCGGGCAGGUAAGUCAGUGGUGAAAUCCCCGGGCUUAACUUGGGAACUGCCGUUGAUACUAUCUGUCUUGAAUAUCGUGGAGGUGAGCGGAAUAUGUCAUGUAGCGGUGAAAUGCUUAGAUAUGACAUAGAACACCCAUGCGAAGGCAGCUCACUACACGAUAAUUGACGCUGAGGCACGAAAGCGUGGGGAGCAAACAGG
rnacentral:rRNA from 1 species